rnacentral:rRNA from 1 species
GUUGAACGCUGGCGGAAUGCUUUACACAUGCAAGUCGAGCGGCAGCGCGGGGCAACCUGGCGGCGAGCGGCGAACGGGUGAGUAAUGCAUCGGAACAUGUCCAAGUCGUGGGGGAUAGCCCGGCGAAAGCCGGAUUAAUACCGCAUACGCCCGAGAGGGGAAAGUGGGGGACCGCAAGGCCUCACGCGAUUGGGUUGGCCGAUGUCCGAUUAGCUAGUUGGCGGGGUAAGAGCCCACCAAGGCGAUGAUCGGUAGCUGGUCUGAGAGGAUGAUCAGCCACACUGGGACUGAGACACGGCCCAGACUCCUACGGGAGGCAGCAGUGGGGAAUUUUGGACAAUGGGGGCAACCCUGAUCCAGCCAUUCCGCGUGAGUGAAGAAGGCCU